AUUGACAUAGGACAUGCAUUCUCACUUGUAGAUUAGGAGAAAGAAAAGGAUUAUUUUAAUCAAAUAAGUGGUCCACGCCAGUAUUAUCAUAAGGUUUUGCAUAGAAUUAGGUGAGAAUACCAAAAUUAAAACAAAAUUAAAGUAAAAUUAAAACAAAAUUAAAGUUAUAUGACCAAACUGCAACAAAAUUGAAGUUAUGUGACAAAAUGAAAUUUAGUGACUAAUUUAGUGACCAAUAACUAGCCUUUGUAAUUCACCAAAGUUAAGCACCCCUCAAACUCUAUAAUUUAAAGAUACAAACAGAAAGGCUAUUUCCCUUUUUGUUUCCUCUGACUCUGAGGAGGGGUUCUGGGAGGGGGAUCUUGGAGACAGCACCAUCAUUCAGUACUUUAGUGUAAAUUGGCUACUCUCCAAACUUGAACUUGCACCUUUAUGGUUACAAGUCCAUGAUUUUUCCUGAUACACCAAGCAUGGCCUCCGAAACAUAAAUACGUGUUAAAUACAUUAUUAGGAUUGCACAUGCAAUUGUCUGGUUCCCUAAGUGACACAGAUAGAUUGGAGACAUACAGCAAUAAGAUCAUGCCAGUUGGGACUUGGGAGACAGUUCUCUUCCAGAAAUACAAUCAAGAUAUGUUGCAAAUCCCAAGCUUGUGCCUUAUGUAAAUUACACAGGGCAUGUAAAGCAAACCUGAGCAAGGUAGUACAAGUAUUG
rnacentral:misc_RNA from 1 species